rnacentral:rRNA from 1 species
AAUUCGGUAGAGAUACCUUAGUGCCUUCGGGAACGCUGAGACAGGUGCUGCAUGGCUGUCGUCAGCUCGUGUUGUGAAAUGUUGGGUUAAGUCCCGCAACGAGCGCAACCCUUAUCCUUUGUUGCCAGCGGUCCGGCCGGGAACUCAAAGGAGACUGCCAGUGAUAAACUGGAGGAAGGUGGGGAUGACGUCAAGUCAUCAUGGCCCUUACGAGUAGGGCUACACACGUGCUACAAUGGCGCAUGCAAAGAGAAGCGACCUCGCGAGAGCAAGCGGACCUCAUAAAGUGCGUCGUAGUCCGGAUUGGAGUCUGCAACUCGACUCCAUGAAGUCGGAAUCGCUAGUAAUCGUAGAUCAGAAUGCUACGGUGAAUACGUUCCCGGGCCUUGUACACACCGCCCGUCACACCAUGGGAGUGGGUUGCAAAAGAAGUAGGUAGCUUAACCUUCGGGAGGGCGCUUACCACUUUGUGAUUCAUGACUGGGGUGAAGUCGUAACAAGGUAAGCGUAGCGAG